AAGGAACUUUGUUUUUUUCCCUUGCUGUAUUUCCAGUGCCCAGAGCAGUGCCUAACACAUAGUAGGAGCUCAAUAAAUAUUGACUAAGUGAAUGAGAAAGCAAGCACACAUUGUGCCAGGCCCCAGUCUUCUAUGGGAACACUAGGCCAGAUGCCAUCCUGGAAGUCCUUUUGUCUUAAGUCUCUUAAGGCUCUUAAGUCCUUAAGUCUGUUUACUCUCGCCGGUGCUGAACUUGGUACCCUCUACUCUCUGCCCCAAGCUGACUUUUCCAAGAGAAGAAUUUGUAAAGUGACUUCACUGAUUUACAUCAUGACUCUGCAGUACUGGCCUGAAACCAUGGAGGGCAGAAGAAAACAGAACAAUUUUUUUUAAUUGCUUAAAGAAAAGAGUUGUCAACCAGGAUUUUGUACCCAGCAAAAAUAUCCUUCAGAAAUGAAAGUGAAAUAAACACAUUCUCCAAUUAAGGAAAAUGAAGAUAAUCCAUUGCCAGCACACUUGCUCUAAAAGAACUACUGAAUUAAGUUCUUCAGACAAAAGGGACAUUACAUUAGAAAGAAAUUUGGAACAUCAAGAAGGAAGGAGAACAAAAAUGCCUACUCAGUGUGAAGACCAUGAAGAUGAAGACCUUUAUGUUGAUCCACUUCCACUUAAUGAAUAGAAAAUAUAUUUAUCUUCCUUAUGAUUUUCUUAAUAACAUUUUCUUUUCUCUAGCUUGC
rnacentral:lncRNA from 1 species